AGACAUUAGCCGUUACACGUAUUCGGGAGAUCCGCGACCUACCACCGAAAGCCCCUUUGCCUAGGCGUAAACGUGUGAAUCUGAGGUACUGUUACCGAUAAACAGUAGAGACUUAUAAAGGCUUGGAAAGCCUAUCCCAAAGGACGAGAGCUAUCAGUACGCUAGAACCUAACAGCCGUUUUGACGGGCCUCCCGAGACAGGUCCAAAGAUGUUACUCAGUCUAACAUGCGACCUCAGACCGGCCACAGCUGUCACUCACGACAGCCUGACAAGUUACCCAAGCAGGCCACAGGGCGACACGGCAACCCUUCGCAUCAACACGCCCCCUCGUGUCGCACUAGGGGCCUUACUACAAAUUGUUAGCACCGACGAGCUAGCUCGGCCACCAAGUCCGCGGUCCAGGCCGACUGCUCACCACUCAACAAACACAAACGCAGCUUGCCAGCCUUCAGCCUGAUGGCUAUGCGGUCUGGUGCUGCUGUUCAAACACAAACAGGGAAAACAGGGCCGUACAGCACCAUACGCACUGCCUACGGCGCCCCUUCGGGCAUUGACCUGCCCAUUCGGGCGCCUGCUCACGCACCCUCCGNANNNNNNNNNNNNNNNNNNNNNNNNNNNNNNNNNNNNNNNNNNNNNNNNNNAUUGGGGGGGCGCCGAGCUGGCUACCCUCCCCCCCUGUGGUUUCCGGAGGCUUGAUCGCCCUGCGUUGCCGCAGGGUCUUCCCGUUUGAGUACUUUUCAAUUUAGACCCAGUGCUGUGGAAGGGCGCGGACUUGUGCGGUGUUACCCCCUCGACGGGGGCUAUCUCCCCUGGACUAGCCCAGGGAGGGAGAGGCGGAGGAGGGUAGUAGUCUCAGGAGGCUGUUUGGCGUCUUGUGGUGUGAGCUCUUUGCGCUCUUUUUUGCGUGAGGAUUUUUGAGCUUGGUGACCUCCCCAGCCCGGGAAGACUCGUCGGGCUCCCGGUCGCCCAAGUCCUGGUAGCGAGCUCUCUGAGAUGCUCGGUUCGUUCGGUCGGCAGGAAGAGCCCCCCAGUUGCGACUUCGUUUAUGUUAGGAGACCAACGGGCAUAGAUCCCGUCUAGUUGGAGCGCCAAACAAGCGCUGUUGCGUGCCGGCCGUCGUUUCCCGUGCGGCCUGACCCGGGGGCGGAGUGCAUGAGACUAACCAGCCGUAUGCACCCGCCCCCCGCGCUGUGCUUCGGCCCUGGGCCCCCGGCUUUUCAGCCCACAGUGUAAUCAACGUCAUACAUACAUACAUACAUACAUACAUACAUACAUACAUACAUACAUACAUACAUACAUACAUGCGAGCGAGGCUACAUCCUGUCUCAUUCAUUAUUGGACAUCAGGCUUACGUUGCUCAUUGAGGUCUUCAGAACUGCUCCAGGGUCCAUAUGUUGGUGCGGACACACCUGGCAGCUGCUGAGGCGCUACUGAGGAGCUUCCCACACGGGUCGCUGUCAAUACUACUACUACUACCAAACAAAAGCAUGCCAGCGCCAGGGCAUUGCGCAACAUACGCCGGUUAAGCAGGCGGGGCAGGUUUCCGACUACGACGGUUUUAGUCCUCUGUCGGCUUCCAUCAUGCGUUAAUAAGGACAUGCGAUGCCAUCUGUUGCACAAGGCCUUGGGCAGCGUGGUCUGCCAGAAAUGCGCUGCCGCAGCUCGCCGAGUCCUGAGGAACCAACAAAGCGACCCCGGUUAUUUCCAAGAUAACAUAUGUGAAUAAAUGCACUAUUUUCAGAUGACGUUUUGCGGCAAGGUUACGUAAUAUCAGUUUGAGUGCACCGAUUGCUGUUCGACGCUCUUCGAUGUUCACUCGACGGAUCGCUCCACCGGCGGUCGAUUGCCUCGCGGUGGUAGCUACACAUUAAUAUCGGAGGCGCGGGUAGUAUUGCGAGUGCGUGUAAUACCGCUUGCACGAGCAGUGUAAUUCGACUUCUGUAAGCUCGUGUCUGGCGACACUUACCGAUAGCAUCAAUCCUCACUCACGCAACAGCAAGCAAGUGGCCAACAUGCUUAGCCGUAAAGUUGUGUUAAUAUCUGAGAGAUAUUGGUGAAACAAUAUUUCAACUAUAUAGAUAUGCGGGCCGCGACCUGGCGUUUUUUAAGACUCGCGUUUUUGAAAAAAUAAUGGAACGGAAUGCAAGUGCAAUAUAUUUUAAAAUCAUUAGAUUGAGGUUAUCUGAAAUAACUGGCUCCUCUAAAAUGUUUUGACACUGGCUGUUCAUCUCCCGCUGCAAACGUCGCUUCACAGGGGGGAAAGUUAAUAUUAUCUAUCGAAAUAGAAGACGUCCACGUUAUCUAAUUUGUGUCACAUUGCCGAUUAUCACUCGUCCCCAUUUUUGGUGUUGAUACUACAGGCCAUGAUGGCUGCCGCCGGUACCGGUACGCUCAGCGUGGUGCGUACAGGGUGGGCGGGUAGAUGAGGGUAGAUGUAGCAAGUGCUGGAAUGGAGCUGCGGUUGGAGAGCUUAUUACCAUCUAUAACCUAACCUAACCGAGCAUAUGCAUCCAAACCACAUAUGAUCAGCAAGUAGCGGACUCGCAAGAAAACGCACAUAUGCUCCGGGGGUGGAGGAAUGUACACUUCUUGCUCAACAGUAAAAACAAACGUUAAGUCUAUUAGGAGCGGCAAUGCUAAGAAGUGGUAUAUGUCCCGGCGGGAAACCCACCUUUAAUGAAUAAACCGGCAAAUAAAGGAGUACAACGUACGGUGAUACCUGGCUUAUCCUUUAGGCGCAGUCAUAGACGAAAUUGCAAGCAUUGAGCACACAAGCGCAACUUGCAGCUUAGAUGCGGAAGGAACGGGCCGAGUAAGCACGGUACAUAUGUAAGAACGGUACAUAGGCAGCCGUACGGCUUGCCAACUUUUGAAUAGGCUCCGCACGCCGCCUUGUGAGUUUGUUAAUGAUAACCGCAAGCCUGGCGUAAAAUGUGCCGGUACAAGGGGAUGCCGAAACACAGGGCCGGUUAUGUUCCUGCAAAAUCGUACGCGUCCCAGAUGCGUUUCCGUCCGUUUGGGAGCUUGGCUGUUUAAAUAUAAUAGGCCGGCUGGUCGGCAAAGGGAUGAGCGCACAUGUAGGGUCUAUGGCGAUGGAGUAGAGGACGAGUUUCACGUGCUUAUGGGAUGAACAGCGCACGAUGAUGUCCGCCAGGGUUUCGCUUCGUUAGUUGUUAAUGUUUGCGACCGCUUACCCCGGCCUAUGCUCCUUAUUAUGAGUGUUGAUAACCAGCGCGGGUUGGCAGUGUUGGUGAGACGCUAUCUCACAGGGACCUAGCAGACACGACUAAGGAGACAUUAGCCGUUACACGUAUUCGGGAGAUCCGCGACCUACCACCGAAAGCCCCUUUGCCUAGGCGUAAACGUGUGAAUCUGAGGUACUGUUACCGAUAAACAGUAGAGACUUAUAAAGGCUUGGAAAGCCUAUCCCAAAGGACGAGAGCUAUCAGUACGCUAGAACCUAACAGCCGUUUUGACGGGCCUCCCGAGACAGGUCCAAAGAUGUUACUCAGUCUAACAUGCGACCUCAGACCGGCCACAGCUGUCACUCACGACAGCCUGACAAGUUACCCAAGCAGGCCACAGGGCGACACGGCAACCCUUCGCAUCAACACGCCCCCUCGUGUCGCACUAGGGGCCUUACUACAAAUUGCUAGCACCGACGAGCUGGCUCGGCCACCAAGUCCGCGGUCCAGGCCGACUGCUCACCACUCAACAAACACAAACGCAGCUUGCCAGCCUUCAGCCUGAUGGCUAUGCGGUCUGGUGCUGCUGUUCAAACACAAACAGGGAAAACAGUGCCGUACAGCACCAUACGCACUGCCUACGGCGCCCCUUCGGGCAUUGACCUGCCCAUUCGGGCGCCUGCUCACGCACCCUCAGCACCCCCCUAAAGCCUAGCUCAAAACAAUUCCUCAAAGCCCUCAGCACUCCUCCUCUGGCGAUCUAAGUGACGCCCAGCGCUGUGCGGCAGCGCACGAACUUGACCUCGCCCAGUGCCUUGGUUAGGAUGUCAGCCACCAUGUCCUCGGUGGUGCAAUAGCUGAGCUUCACCUCACCACGCGCGACCCUCUCGCACACGAUGUGAUGGUGCACGUCGAUGUGCUUGGAGCGCACCGACGUGAUGGGGUUGUUGCCGAGGCUGAGCGCGCCUUGCGAAUCCAGCUGGACGUUGACAGCACCCGGGGAAAGGUCCAGAUCGCUCGCCAGCUUGCGCAGCCACAACGCCUCACGCACGGCUGCUGCUGCGGCCUGGUAUUCGGCUUCCACGGACGAGGCAGCCACGGUGCGCUGCAACUGACUGCUCCAGCUGACCGCCGCGCUGCCGAGCAGAAAAGCGUAGCCCGUGGUGGACCUGCGGGUGGCUGGGUCGCCGGCCCAGUCUGCAUCGCUGUACCCACAGAAAUUGCUGGCGUCGCCACAGUAACGUAGACCAAGCGCCCGAGUGCCAGAGACGUAACGCAGCACACCCAGAGCGAGCCCCAUGUGCGCUUUGGUGGGGGCAGACAUGUGCCGCGCCAGCAUGCUCAGAGUGUGUGCGAUGUCUGGGCGUGUGCGAUGUCUGGGCGUGUGCUGGUAGCAAGGUAGUUUAGUUCUCCCACCAGCGCGCGGUAGCCACUGCUGUCCGUCAAUAUCGGCUGGGUGUCACUGGCUGGCAGAACCCGCGUACCCUGGGGUAGCGGGGUGGCACGUGGCUUGGCGUUCUCCAGGCUGUGGCGCUGAAGCAGCUGCUCCACGUAACGCUGCUGCGUGAGCAUGAUGCUGCGGUUGCGGCGGUCCUGGACGAUCUCCAUGCCGAGGUAGUAGCGCGCCUCUCCAAGGUCUCGUACAGCGAAGCAACCAGCUAUGGCCGCCUUGGCGGCCGCAACCAACUGCGGGUUGUCCGCCGCCACCAGCAUGUCGUCAACGUGCACGAGCACAUCGAUUGAGCCAUCGGACCCCCGCUUGACGAAUAGCGCGGGGUCGGACGCAGACGGUUCAUAGCCUAGCUUGCCCAGCUCCGCCGCCAGCUUCUCGUACCAGCAACGUGGGGCUUGCUUGAGGCCGUAGACAGACUUUAACAGCCGGCACGCCUGUGACGGGUCGCCGUUGCUGUAACCUGGGGGCUGUCGCAUCCACAGCUCCUCAGCCAGGUCACCGUUCAAGAAGGCCGUCUUGACGUCCAUCUGAUGGACCGUCAUACCUCUGGCUGCUGCCACAGCUAGAAGUGCCCGCAGGGAGGCUGCACGCGUAGUGGGCACAAACAGCUCNNNNNNNNNNNNNNNNNNNNNNNNNNNNNNNNNNNNNNNNNNNNNNNNNNCGAGCUUAACCUGCUGGCUGGUUGGGACGCGGACGUAUGCCAGGCAGCCGAAUGUGUGCAGGUGACUGACGUCGGGGGUGACGACAUGAUAAGUUGCCCACGGCGUAGCCUCCCGGCCCUGAGAGGGGGAAACAUUGCGCAGGAGGUUGGCGUAUAGCACAGCUUCCGACCAAAAGCUGUCCGGGAGCGCGGCAUCGUACAGCAUAGCCUGCACACGGUCGAGGAGCGUGCGAUUGAGCCUGCGAUUGAGCCGCUCCGCUGCACCGUUCUGCUCCGGAGUGUACGGCGCCGAGUGGGUAUGCGCAGUGCCGCGCUGGUGUAGCCACUGUGCCAGCUGCUCGGCGACAAACUCGCCACCGUUAUCACUAUGAAGGGUGCGGACCCGUGCACCGUUCGGGUUGCGAGCCUCCAGCUGUGUCACCAUGUCCUGCAGCGCUUCGCCCACUUGGUUCUUGCUAACCAGUGUGCGAACGGCAGACAGACCGGAGGCACCGUCCAGCAGCGUUAGCAAGUAGCGAGCCCCUCCUCGGCCCGUGGUCGGCAUGGGCCCGCACAGGUCAGAGUGUACGACCUCCAGGACAUGCUGAGGCCGGUUACCGCGGCUGACGUGAGCUGUAGCUGUAGUCUUCGCUGUGACACAGGCUUCGCAGACACCCUCUGCCGCCUGACGCAGCGCCGCGGGAGUGACCCGUGGUCCAUGUACCAGAUGCUUGGUGAUAAGCUGCUCCAACGCCCGGUAACCAAGGUGGCCGAACUGGCGGUGCAGGCGCUGUGCUGCUGCGAGUUCGGCGGCUGAGCACUCAAGGGCGCCCAGCUGCCCUUGGCCGUUGCUGGCGCCGUUCGACUGGUCUCCGCCGGUGUCACUGCUGCCGGCGCCGUUCGGCUGGUCCCCGCCGGCGUCACUGCUGCUGGCGCCGGCGGCAAAUCUGCUAGCGCUGGUACCUCCGCCGGCUCUGUCUUCCGCAGCGCCGAGCGCACUGACGNNNNNNNNNNNNNNNNNNNNNNNNNNNNNNNNNNNNNNNNNNNNNNNNNNNNNNNNNNNNNNNNNNNNNNNNNNNNNNNNNNNNNNNNNNNNNNNNNNNNNNNNNNNNNNNNNNNNNNNNNNNNNNNNNNNNNNNNNNNNNNNNNNNNNNNNNNNNNNNNNCUCCAGCAGGCUUAGCCGGGCCUGAGAGGCAGAACGGAACUGCAGCUGUAAGAGCUGCAUGCGGGCGAGGGUCGUCUGACAGUUCCUGAGCAACUGCUUUACUGGCAGUUCGCAGGAUAGACGCAGGUAGCCAAGCGCCUGGGCAUCUUCCUCCAGAGCGUCUUGCGCAUUGCGUCCCGGUGGCGACGGGUUGGUCAUAUAGAUCCGCAGCUUGGAUGUAGCAAGGAAAUCACUGAAGUCUCCUAGCCACUGUGAGUAGUUAGACCCGUCCGCUAAGAGGACGGUCUUACACCCUUUUCCCAUGUCGGUUGCCUAGCGAGCCUCCCUGCUCAAGCUAAAAGCAACUACAGAUAUUAACCGCCGGGAACCGUUACCCGGGGCUCAUAACCUGUUGGUGAGACGCUAUCUCACAGGGACCUAGCAGACACGACUAAGGAGACAUUAGCCGUUACACGUAUUCGGGAGAUCCGCGACCUACCACCGAAAGCCCCUUUGCCUAGGCGUAAACAUGUGAAUCUGAGGUACUGUUACCGAUAAACAACAGAGACUUAUAAAGGCUUGGAAAGCCUAUCCCAAAAGGACGAGAGCUAUCAGUACGCUAGAACCUAAUAGCCGUUUUGACGGGCCUCCCGAGACAGGUCCAAAGCUGUUACUCAGUCUAACAUGCGACCUCAGACCGGCCACAGCUGUCACUCACGACAGCCUGACAAGUUACCCAAGCAGGCCACAGGGCGACACGGCAACCCUUCGCAUCAACAUGGUCGACUGGGUGUUGCAUAGCAUGUGUGGAGCUUUAGUAUGCACCCAGCGAUUCGAUCUCAAUUGGAGGUAUCGAGCAAGAACCAGCGGUCCAUCCAGUUGGGUGCAGCAGAUAGUAGUAGUGCCGCCAGAGAAGGAACCAACGUACGCCUGUAGUGCCUGCGCCUGCACCUCGUGACAGUGGCAGUGCGCAACGUGGUGGAGAACGAGCAAGAGUCCAGGAGGGUCAUGUGCACGGGCUGGGGCUGGGGCUGGGGCUGGGAAGGCUGGGAAGGCAAUACUUGGCAGUGAACCGGCAAGGCGAGUGGGUGCUGCCGU
rnacentral:lncRNA from 1 species